rnacentral:rRNA from 1 species
UACGUAGGGUGCGAGCGUUAAUCGGAAUUACUGGGCGUAAAGGGUGCGCAGGCGGCUAUAUAAGUUAGAUGUGAAAUCCCUAAGCUUAACUUAGGAAUGGCAUUUGAUACUGUAUAGCUAGAGUUUAUCAGAGGGAGGUAGAAUUCCAAGUGUAGCAGUGAAAUGCGUAGAUAUCAGGAGGAACACCGGUGGUGUAGACGGCUUUCUGGACCGUAACUGACGCUGAGACACGAAAGCGUGGGUAGCAAACAGG